rnacentral:rRNA from 1 species
UACGAAGGGGGCUAGCGUUGUCCGGAAUCACUGGGCGUAAAGCGCACGUAGGCGGAUCUUUAAGUCAGGGGUGAAAUCCUGGAGCUCGACUCCAGAACUGCCUUUGAUACUGGGGAUCUCGAGUCCGGGAGAGGUGAGUGGAACUGCGAGUGUAGAGGUGAAAUUCGUAGAUAUUCGCAAGAACACCAGUGGCGAAGGCGGCUCACUGGCCCGGUACUGACGCUGAGGUGCGAAAGCGUGGGGAGCAAACAGG